AGAGAGAGACAUGCGCGCAUAUCAAUAAGCGGAGGAAAAGAAACUAACUAGGAUUCCCUCAGUAACGGCGAGUGAAGCGGGAAGAGCUCAAAUUUGAAAUCUUCAAGGUUCUACCUUGACGAAUUGUAGUUUAAAGAAGUGUUUUCUGUUGGAGUUUUGGUAAAAGUUCUUUGGAAUAGGACAUCAUAGAGGGUGAGAAUCCCGUAUUUGACCAUUAUUUCCAGCUUUGUGAUACACUUUCAAAGAGUCGGAUUGUUUGGGAAUGCAGUCCAAAAUGGGUGGUAAAUUUCAUCUAAAGCUAAAUAUUGGCGAGAGACCGAUAGCGAACAAGUACCGUGAGGGAAAGAUGAAAAGGAACUUUGAAAAGAGAGUUAAACAGUACGUGAAAUUGUCAAAAGGGAAGCGUUUGACACCAGUGUUGUUUUCUCGAAAAUCAAUUAAAAAAGGCAGGAUUUUGUGUUGUAUUGACUUUAUCAGCUUUCUGCACUCUUUUCUUGUCUUUUUUAAUGCACUUUUCGUUUAACAAGUCAACAUCAAUUUCUUUUGUUGUAAAAAGGGUCAUUGGAAGGUGGCUUUCUUUUCGGAGAAAGUGUUUAUAGCCUUUGGCCUCUGCAAUCGGAGAGAUUGAGGUCUGCAGCGUAGAUCCUUCGGGGUUAGAUACAUUUGUGCUAAGUUAUAGCCUUUCAUAGACAACUUGUUGACUAUGAUCAGUCAUGUAGCUUACUCGCUUAUGCUAUUUUACCUACGCUUAGGAUGUUGAUGUGAUACUGCGAGC
rnacentral:rRNA from 1 species